rnacentral:rRNA from 1 species
UACGUAUGGUGCAAGCGUUGUUCGGAAUCACUGGGCGUAAAGAGCGCGCAGGCGGAUUGUUAAGUCGGACGUGAAAACUAUGGGCUCAACCCAUAGCCCGCAUUCGAUACUGAUGAUCUGGAGUCUCGGAGAGGUAGGCGGAAUUCUCGGUGUAGCGGUGAAAUGCGUAGAUAUCGAGAGGAACACCAAUGGCGAAGGCAGCCUACUGGACGGUGACUGACGCUGAGGCGCGAAAGCGUGGGGAGCAAACAGGAUUAGAAACCCGAGUAGU